UUUUUUUUUUUUUCUGGCGAGAGAGGUGAAGGGGAGGGGAAUAAAGUUACAAGUGUGCGUCGUAGGGCUGAAAGGCAGUGUGGGAAAAAGCGGCCUUGGCAGGGAGACGGGGUCAGCGGCGAGCCCGCCGCACCAGGUGUCCCCCCUGCAUUCAAACGAUACGCUCAUUCAUAGAGCGGGCGCGGAGUAUUAAAACUCAGAAUUUGCAACUGAAUGCUGAUAUAAUCCUGGAAAUAUAUGUCUCCAUUAAGCGAGCUCCCAUUAAGCGCACAAGGAAGCCUUUGUGCUGGGGCUUUAUGUAUAUUUAUCAAGGUUUUAAAAGAAGGCCGGUGAGGAUGGAGAGACGGAGGGAGGGAGGGAGGGAGGGAGGGAGAGGGGAGAAGGCUCGGGUGGACUUUCCAACUGUUUACAUGUUAAUUUUCAAACUUAACAGCCCUCGUCCUGGAACUAUUUAUACACAGAAUGCUAAUCAUUUUCUUCCCCCCCAACGCUCUCCUCUUUCCUUUCUUUCUUUCGCUCUCUCUCUCUUGGCAGCAGUUAUUUCCCACUUGACUGUGGCUAUGCUAAUGUGUGUGGAUGCGUGUGUGUGUGUGUGGAUGCGUGUGUGUGUGUCUGAGAGAGAGGGGUUAGGUUUAGUAACGGCCCACUCGAAACUCAGAGACAGUUCAAAACAUCAAAAAACGUCCAUUUUUACUUCAAAACACAGCGUCUGCUGAGGUUUACAGAAGAGAAAUGGACAGAAAGGAAAGGAAAGGAAACGAAAGGAAAGGAAAUGGACAGAAAGGAAAGGAAAGGGACAGAAAGGAAAGGAAAGGAAAGGAAAGGAAAGGAAAUGGACAGAAAGGAAAGGAAAGGAAACGGACAGAAAGGAAAGGGACAGAAAGGAAAGGGACAGAAACGAAAGGAAAUGGACAGAAAGGAAAUGGACAGAAAGGAAAGGGACAGAAAGGAAAGGGACAGAAACGAAAGGAAAUGGACAGAAAG
ensembl:lncRNA